GACGAACCGUGCGAACGUUGUUCGGAAUCACUGGGCUUAAAGGGCGCGUAGGCGGGUCUUCAAGUUUGGGGUGAAAUCCUCCGGCUCAACCGGAGAACUGCCUCGAAUACUGAAGGUCUCGAGGGGGAUAGGGGCAUGCGGAACUACGGGUGGAGCGGUGAAAUGCGUUGAUAUCCGUAGGAACUCCAGUGGCGAAGGCGGCGUGCUGGAUCCCUUCUGACGCUGAGGCGCGAAAGCCAGGGGAGCAAACGGG
rnacentral:rRNA from 1 species